UGGGGAAUAUUGGGCAAUGGGCGCAAGCCUGACCCAGCAACGCCGCGUGAAGGAAGAAGGCUUUCGGGUUGUAAACUUCUUUUCUGGGGGACGAAGAAGUGACGGUACCCCAGGAAUAAGCCACGGCUAACUACGUGCCAGCAGCCGCGGUAAUACGUAGGUGGCAAGCGUUAUCCGGAUUUAUUGGGUGUAAAGGGCGUGUAGGCGGGAGUGCAAGUCAGAUGUGAAAACUAUGGGCUCAACCCAUAGCCUGCAUUUGAAACUGUAUUUCUUGAGUGCUGGAGAGGCAAUCGGAAUUCCGUGUGUAGCGGUGAAAUGCGUAGAUAUACGGAGGAACACCAGUGGCGAAGGCGGAUUGCUGGACAGUAACUGACGCUGAGGCGCGAAAGCGUGGGGAGCAAACAGGAUUAGAUACC
rnacentral:rRNA from 1 species